GAUCAUGGCUCAGAACGAACGCUGGCGGCAUGCCUAACACAUGCAAGUCGAACGAGACCUUCGGGUCUAGUGGCGCACGGGUGCGUAACGCGUGGGAACCUGCCUUUAGGUUCGGAAUAACAGUGAGAAAUUACUGCUAAUACCGGAUAAUGUCUUCGGACCAAAGAUUUAUCGCCUUUAGAUGGGCCCGCGUUGGAUUAGCUAGUUGGUGGGGUAAAGGCCUACCAAGGCGACGAUCCAUAGCUGGUCUGAGAGGAUGAUCAGCCACACUGGGACUGAGACACGGCCCAGACUCCUACGGGAGGCAGCAGUGGGGAAUAUUGGACAAUGGGCGAAAGCCUGAUCCAGCAAUGCCGCGUGAGUGAUGAAGGCCUUAGGGUUGUAAAGCUCUUUUACUGGGGAUGAUAAUGACAGUACCCAGAGAAUAAGCUCCGGCUAACUCCGUGCCAGCAGCCGCGGUAAUACGGAGGGAGCUAGCGUUGUUCGGAAUUACUGGGCGUAAAGCGCACGUAGGCGGCUUUUUAAGUCAGGGGUGAAAUCCCGGGGCUCAACCCCGGAACUGCCCUUGAAACUGGGAAGCUAGAAUCUUGGAGAGGCGAGUGGAAUUCCGAGUGUAGAGGUGAAAUUCGUAGAUAUUCGGAAGAACACCAGUGGCGAAGGCGACUCGCUGGACAAGUAUGACGC
rnacentral:rRNA from 1 species